AUGGUGCGACCGGCAGCGACCCAACCUGUCGACGACCUGGGGCACCAUGGGCCAGGUGGCCACAGCAAGGUCAUCGAUUCCGGGGGUACGGCUCACGGGGUGGAUACCACCCUGGCGCCGCCUCCGGGCAAGGGUGCAUGCUCCGAUCUCACCCUCGCCCCUUCCUCUCCGUUUCUAGUCGAUCAGCAGAUAGGGCAUGAGCAUAGCCACCACCACACCUUGCACUCCAACUGGGCUCUGCCCAAACUCGAUUUCCCCUUGUUCGAGGGAGAGAACCCCCAAUUCUGGAAGACCAAAUGCGAGAAAUAUUUCGCAGUCUACGGGGUGCAACCGGAUCUCUGGGUUCGUGUGGCUACACUGCACUUUUCAUGUACAGCAGCGCGAUGGCUUCAGGUUCAAGAAGCACACAACACUCCCUUCACCUGGGAAGCGUUAUGCACGGCUUUGUGCGCCAAGUUCGGUAGAGAACAAUAUCAGUUGCAAUUGCGUUAG
rnacentral:rRNA from 1 species